rnacentral:rRNA from 1 species
UGGGGAAUUUUGGACAAUGGGGGAAACCCUGAUCCAGCCAUCCCGCGUGUGCGAUGAAGGCCUUCGGGUUGUAAAGCACUUUUGGCAGGAAAGAAACGUCGCGGGUUAAUACCCCGCGAAACUGACGGUACCUGCAGAAUAAGCACCGGCUAACUACGUGCCAGCAGCCGCGGUAAUACGUAGGGUGCAAGCGUUAAUCGGAAUUACUGGGCGUAAAGCGUGCGCAGGCGGUUCGGAAAGAAAGAUGUGAAAUCCCCAGAGCUUAACUUUGGAACUGCAUUUUUAACUACCGGGCUAGAGUGUGUCAGAGGGAGGUGGAAUUCCNCGUGUAGCAGUGAAAUGCGUAGAUAUGCGGAGGAACACCGAUGGCGAAGGCAGCCUCCUGGGAUAACACUGACGCUCAUGCACGAAAGCGUGGGGAGCAAACAGGAUUAGAUACCCUGGUAGUCCACGCCCUAAACGAUGUCAACUAGCUGUUGGGGCCUUCGGGCCUUGGUAGCGCAGCUAACGCGUGAAGUUGACCGCCUGGGGAGUACGGUCGCAAGAUUAAAA